GACGAACGCUGGCGGCGUGCUUAACACAUGCAAGUCGAACGGAAAGGCCCUUCGGGGUACUCGAGUGGCGAACGGGUGAGUAACACGUGGGUGAUCUGCCCUGCACUUUGGGAUAAGCCUGGGAAACUGGGUCUAAUACCGAAUAUGACUACACGCUUCCUGGUGUGUGGUGGAAAGCUUUUGCGGUGUGGGAUGGGCCCGCGGCCUAUCAGCUUGUUGGUGGGGUAAUGGCCUACCAAGGCGACGACGGGUAGCCGGCCUGAGAGGGUGACCGGCCACACUGGGACUGAGAUACGGCCCAGACUCCUACGGGUGGCAG
rnacentral:rRNA from 1 species